CCCGCUGAGGAGAUGGAUGAGGACGGGCUUCCUCUCAUGGGGUCAGGCAUAGACCUGACCAAGGUGCCAGCUAUUCAACAGAAAAGAACGGUGGCUUUUCUAAACCAAUUUGUGGUGCACACUGUACAGUUCCUCAACCGCUUUUCUACAGUUUGUGAGGAGGGCAAGAUGGAGAAGUAUCUGGAAAGGGACUGUCCCAGGAUUACUAGCAGAAAGGAGCAAACACUCUUAUCCCCAUAGCCCUUAUCAUCAAGCUGAAAAAUAAGAACAAAGCAACAAGUAAACACA
rnacentral:sRNA from 1 species